GACGAACGCUGGCGGCGUGCUUAACACAUGCAAGUCGAACGGAAAGGCCCUGCUUUUGUGGGGUGCUCGAGUGGCGAACGGGUGAGUAACACGUGAGUAACCUGCCCUUGACUUUGGGAUAACUUCAGGAAACUGGGGCUAAUACCGGAUAGGAGCUCCUGCUGCAUGGUGGGGGUUGGAAAGUUUCGGCGGUUGGGGAUGGACUCGCGGCUUAUCAGCUUGUUGGUGGGGUAGUGGCUUACCAAGGCUUUGACGGGUAGCCGGCCUGAGAGGGUGACCGGCCACAUUGGGACUGAGAUACGGCCCAGACUCCUACGGGAGGCAGCAGUGGGGAAUAUUGCACAAUGGGCGGAAGCCUGAUGCAGCAACGCCGCGCGGGAUGACGGCCUUCGGGUUGUAAACCGCUUUCGCCUGUGACGAAGCGUGAGUGACGGUAAUGGGUAAAGAAGCACCGGCUAACUACGUG
rnacentral:rRNA from 1 species